GAACGAGUGGCGGACGGGUGAGUAACACGUGGGUAACCUGCCCUUAAGUGGGGGAUAACAUUUGGAAACAGAUGCUAAUACCGCAUAGAUCCAAGAACCGCAUGGUUCUUGGCUGAAAGAUGGCGUAAGCUAUCGCUUUUGGAUGGACCCGCGGCGUAUUAGCUAGUUGGUGAGGUAACGGCUCACCAAGGCGAUGAUACGUAGCCGAACUGAGAGGUUGAUCGGCCACAUUGGGACUGAGACACGGCCCAAACUCCUACGGGAGGCAGCAGUAGGGAAUCUUCCACAAUGGACGCAAGUCUGAUGGAGCAACGCCGCGUGAGUGAAGAAGGCUUUCGGGUCGUAAAACUCUGUUGUUGGAGAAGAAUGGUCGGCAGAGUAACUGUUGUCGGCGUGACGGUAUCCAACCAGAAAGCCACGGCUAACUACGUGCCAGCAGCCGCGGUAAUACGUAGGUGGCAAGCGUUAUCCGGAUUUAUUGGGCGUAAAGCGAGCGCAGGCGGUUUUUUAAGUCUGAUGUGAAAGCCCUCGGCUUAACCGAGGAAGCGCAUCGGAAACUGGGAAACUUGAGUGCAGAAGAGGACAGUGGAACUCCAUGUGUAGCGGUGAAAUGACGUAGAUAUAUGGAAGAACACCAGUGGCGAAGGCAGGC
rnacentral:rRNA from 2 species